rnacentral:tRNA from 1 species
GGAGGUAUAGCUCAGAGGUAGAGUACAUGCUUAGCAUGCACAAGGUUCUAGGUUCAAUCCCCAGUACCUCCA